CCCCCAGCCAGCUUCACAUACUCAUUAUUAACCUGUCUCUCUCUGCAAUUAGGGCUCCACAUUUAAAACUCCUCUGACAGAGGCAUAACAAACCAACAUUAAGCUCGUUUAUUGUUAUUGCUCACUCAAAAUUUCUGCUUUCCAGCUAAAACACCAGCCUGGAUUCUCAGCCUCAGAAGAGCUAGACCCAAGGUCAGGAUCCCUAAUCUCAAAACCUCCUUUAACUUUACAAUCAACAAAUCCAGCAUUUGUGAAUGUUACAGAUUAUUUUCCAAGCUGUGGAGGGAGAUUUCUUUCAUAAUUGGAGAACAAGGAGAAGAAAACCUCGCACGGGAUUUGCCACCAACCUAAAUUUCCUAUUCCUCCCCCUCCGAGCAGGACACACACCUCCGUCCUCUCCCACUGUCCCACACCUUGUACUGCAGCAAACCAGUGCCUGCUGUACGUAACGGGCUAUUUAUAGGAAAGCCCCCUGUGGGUGGGGUCUGUUGUGACUUAGUGGGGUCUAUUGUAACUUAGUGGGGUCUGUCAUGACAGAGUGGGCCUAACACAUACACACACAUACACAGUUACAUGGAGGGUGGCCACCAAGAUGUGCUAGAAGCACAGACCAGAUAUGAAGGCCGAAGGACCAAGAGGUCAAAGGGUCUCCUUCAGCUCCACCUCCUGGAGGCUCUCCUGGACAACCCUGGGGGAACAGCCCGAGCACCCUCUCCUUGUGGUGUCCCAGCACAUCUCAGCUCAGGCACCAACGGGGUUUCCAGCUUUAACAGGGCCCAGCACAGCUCACUGCCGCUGGAGCUGGAGGAAAACAAGGAUGCCUUUUGGCGCUUGCUCUCUGCGUGAUCUCAGAGCGGUGAAGAUGCCGCGGGAGACACAGCCCGUGUGGAGCGUGCGAGGAGGGCUUUCUACCAGGCACCAUUCAGCCACAGCCCAUUGGUCCAGACAGGAGCGAUGCUUCUGGUUUCAGCAGGAAACAGGGGGGAGAAGACACCACACAAAUGCACAGGGCUCAACCUCCCCUCCAUGCAACCUGGCACAAGUUCUUGCGGAGAUGGGCUGUCCUGCACCAGCUGAAAACCCAAACCAUGUUGCAGGUGGCGUGAGCUUUCUCUUCUCUCAAGACAACACCAUUGCUCGAUGAUCACAAGUUGAUUGGAAAUGGAAACAAAUCCACCUGGAAAAAAAAAAUCAAACUUUUUUCCACCUCACGUGCUUUGAAACUCUCCCCUUUUCUAUGAUUUUCAUCAUUAAUUGAAGUUAUUGUUAUUUUAGGAAACCUUUUGAAACGUGCCUUUUGGUGAGAACAUGUAGGGUCUGGCCAAUAAAAGAAUUACUACCAGGAUUUCA
rnacentral:lncRNA from 1 species